rfam:Camelus ferus unplaced genomic scaffold scaffold28233, whole genome shotgun sequence.
GUGGGCUAUGGGGACAUGUGCCCAACCACCCCGGGGGGGAAAAUUGUGGGCACUCUAUGUGCCAUCGCAGGGGUCCUCACCAUCGCCCUCCCCGUGCCUGUCAUUGUCUCCAAC